rnacentral:rRNA from 1 species
GCAUAACGCGAAGAACCUUACCUGGCCUUGACAUUGAUAGAAUCUGUUAGAGAUAGAGGAGUGCUCGAAAGAGAGCCGUAACACAGGUGCUGCAUGGCUGUCGUCAGCUCGUGUCGUGAGAUGUUGGGUUAAGUCCCGCAACGAGCGCAACCCUUGCCAUUAGUUGCUACAUUUAGUUGAGCACUCUAAUGGGACUGCCGGUGACAAACCGGAGGAAGGUGGGGAUGACGUCAAGUCCUCAUGGCCCUUAUAGGUGGGGCUACACACGUCAUACAAUGGCUGGUACAAAGGGUUGCCAACCCGCGAGGGGGAGCUAAUCCCAUAAAGCCAGUCGUAGUCCGGAUCGCAGUCUGCAACUCGACUGCGUGAAGUCGGAAUCGCUAGUAAUCGUGGAUCAGAAUGUCACGGUGAAUACGUUCCCGGGUCUUGUACACACCG